GCGCGCUUCCGGCCGGCGCCUUUUCCCAGGGACUCCGCCAACCCCUCGCACCCCCGCGCCCCCAGUCCCCGCGUCCCCGGCGCCGCCGGCCCGGAGCUGCCCGGAAGUCUCGGUUCCGCCGCCGGCGCUCGCCAGGGGAAGCCCGGGGCCGCCCGGGACCUCGGCCCGUUCCUCCGGACCCGAGAGGCCGCCGCACGGGGAAACUUUUCCUAAAAGGAAGUGGCAAUUUUAACUAAUCUCCCCUCCGCCGCUCCCAGCUGCCGCUCCAGAUGCUGCUGCUGCCGCCGCGGCCACCCCACCCUCGGUCCUCCUCUCCGGAGGCCAUGGACCCACCG
rnacentral:lncRNA from 1 species